CCUAAGGUAGCGAAAUUCCUUGUCAGGUAAGUUCUGACCCGCACGAAAGGCGUAAUGAUUUGGGAGCUGUCUCAACAAUGUACCCGGCGAAAUUGUAGUACUAGUGAAGAUGCUAGUUACCUGCGACAAGACAGAAAGACCCCAUGGAGCUUUACUGUAGCUUGAUACUGGGUUUCGGUAGUUUAUGUACAGGAUAGGUGGGAGACUAUGAGUGCAGGGCGUCAGCCUUGCAGGAGUCAAUGUUGGGAUACCACCCUUAAAUUACUGGAAUUCUAACCUGUAGUCAUUAACUGGCUAGGGGACAAUGUCAGGUGGGCAGUUUGACUGGGGCGGUCGCCUCCUAAAGAGUAACGGAGGCGCCCAAAGGUUUCCUCAGCCUGGUCAGAAAUCAGGCGAAAGAGUGCAAAGGCAGAAGGGAGCUUAACUGAAAGACAGACAUGUCGAACAGAUACGAAAGUAGGGCUUAGUGAUCCGGUGGUAAGUAAAUGGAAAUGCCAUCGCUCAACGGACAAAAGUUACCCUGGGGAUAACAGGCUAAUCUCUCCCAAGAGUUCACAUCGACGGGGAGGUUUGGCACCUCGAUGUCGGCUCAUCGCAUCCUGGGGCUGAAGUAGGUCCCAAGGGUUGGGCUGUUCGCCCAUUAAAGCGGUACGCGAGCUGGGUUCAGAACGUCGUGAGACAGUUCGGUCCUUAUCUGUCGCAGGCGCAGGAAAUUUGAAGGGAGCUGUCCUUAGUACGAGAGGACCAGGAUGGACAUACCGAUGGUGUAUCAGUUGUCACACCAGUGGCACGGCUGAGUAGCUAAGUAUGGAAGGGAUAAACGCUGAAAGCAUCUAAGUGUGAAGCCCACCCUAAGAUAAGAUUUCCCAUUGAGUAAUCAAGUAAGAUUCCUGGAAGACGACCAGGUAGAUAGGCUGGAGGUGGAAGUACAGUGAUGUAUGUAGCUAACCAGUACUAAUAAAUCGAGGGCUUAACCAC
rnacentral:rRNA from 1 species